GAUGAACGCUGGCGGCGUGCUUAACACAUGCAAGUCGAACGAAGCACUUUAUUUUAUUUCCUUCGGGACUGAUUAUUUUGUGACUGAGUGGCGGACGGGUGAGUAACGCGUGGGUAACCUGCCUUGUACAGGGGGAUAACAGUUGGAAACGGCUGCUAAUACCGCAUAAGCGCACAGCAUCGCAUGAUGCAGUGUGAAAAACUCCGGUGGUAUAAGAUGGACCCGCGUUGGAUUAGCUAGUUGGUGAGGUAACGGCCCACCAAGGCGACGAUCCAUAGCCGACCUGAGAGGGUGACAGGCCACAGUGGGACUGAGACACGGCCCAAACUCCUACGGGAGGCAGCAGUGGGGAAUAUUGCACAAUGGGCGAAAGCGUGAUGCAGCGACGCCGCGUGAGCGAAGAAGUAUUUCGGUAUGUAAAGCUCUAUCAGCAGGGAAGAUAAUGACGGUACCUGACGAAGAAGCACCGGCUAAAUACGUG
rnacentral:rRNA from 1 species